UUUUAAGAGAUUACCUACUUUUCUCGCUCUCACGCCUAGAGAAGCUGCCCUAACCUGAUGCCUUAUCUGAGGAAUAUAUGUGUGGAGAAGUGACUGUGUGCCAGAGACCCCUGUGCACAUUCAUAAGUGGGAAGGUAAAACUCCUAAUACUUGACACCACACAAAAAUACAAAGAUGUUUCUCCAAUGGCAAAGUACUUGUGGUCUCCCUUCGUCUGUUGCUAGGAGACCUGUUUAAGAAUUAAUCAGGGAAACAUCACAAAUGCUGCUAAAUCAUGCACCACACUACAGAUUGAGCUGCUCCAAAGAGAUGAGAAAACUUGCUUUUUCUGUUAACCCGGCACAGACUGGUAUGCAGCACAAUUUCCUUCAAAAGACCUGGAGACUGUAACAGAGGAUUGGUGGGCUCUGUCCAGUCUGCCCUGAGACCCCAGCAUAGAGCCUGAGAGAUGCUAAGUAUAGCAAAAGCAGGACUUGAGUUGUGGUGGCAAGGAUCUCUGCUGCCAAGUGGAGAAAACUUUGUGAGUGGGAAGAUGAGCCUGCUGCACCGAACACAAGCAGGUAGGAGAAGCGAGCAGUUCUCUGAAGGAUAUUUGGAGCUAUUGCAAACCCUCUCCUCAUCUGCGCCUGCCGUGCACCAACCCACUGUCUCGGCAAGGCUCCAGCUGGCGCUCGGAUCUCGCUCGCUCGCGCUGCGCACACCUCAGACGACGUGGCUUUGA
rnacentral:lncRNA from 1 species